rnacentral:lncRNA from 10 species
GGCCCCUGGUUCCUGGUGACCGAGUCCUCGCUAAGACUCCUAGGACACAAUGCUCUGUGUCAUUCGGCGCCCAACCUGUUUUCUUUUCUGCUUGAAUGACCUGCUCCUAGGAGUCGAGCCUGAGCCAUAGGGUCCCAAAGACAACACUCAGAAAUCACAGAAGAAAUAACCUGAGGUGGUGGAAGAGAGAUGUGAAGAGAACUACCAUUUACUGCCUACCGUGGCGGGGCCUUUACAUGACAGUGUGGAGCUACUGCCACUUAUUACCUGUGUAUUAUACUAUGUGUCUGGCACUAUGCUAAGCACCUUAUAUGCAUUCUCCUACUUACUCUUACAACUGCCCUGGGCUUGGGUAUUAUUGCCAUUUCCAUUUUGCAGAUGAGAAAAAUAGGCUGAGAAAAGUUAAAUGAACUUCCUUAAGACAUCCAACUAGGAUGGAGAGUCUGAACUCAAAACCAAGUUUGCUUGAGCAAAGCCUGUCUGUUCCUGGCCCAUACCACCACACCGCUCCUCUUGCUUUGACAAGACACGAAGGCAAAGCAGGGGCUGGUAUCCUUUGGUGUGUGUUAGUGCAGCAGGGGUGGUUUGUUCCAGGCCCCUUCACCUUCACCCUGUACUUGAAUCACUAGAACCAUGAUUACUGUGCCUCCUGCACCCAGGGUCACCCUCCCAACCCCUUCCCACAAUUCUGUAUGUAAGUUUCAGCAUUCUUUGGGUGAAAAGCCAGGGGGGCCCCUUACUGUUACAGAUGCUAUUUUAAAGUCCAUUUCUACAGCAGACUGCUCUACCCUGUGCACCCCUGAUCUUAUGUCAAAUGUUCUUGGUGCAAACAGAAAGGAGCUUGCAAGGGGUACCAGAAGACCUGAGUUUGAACUGCAUUUUGCCUUUACUAGCACUCUAACCCUGACCAAACCAUACAACCUCUCUGAGCCUUAAUUUCCUCAUUUAUAAAGUGGAGAUAAAAAUAGCUGUCCUACCCAGAGAGAGAAAAUAUGUCAAUUGUAAGGCACUACUAUCUAAAUUUUUUUGGGAAGAAAUGAUCCCUAAUGUAAGGAAUGAGGAAAACCCAGGUCAUGGAGUUAAGUUCACUGGAGAGCUGGAGAAAGUAGAGGCUGGAUGAUGCCAUGCCUUGCACCUUAGAUCUUAACCCUUCUUUCUGAUUCUCUA